rnacentral:rRNA from 1 species
UACGGGGGGGGCAAGCGUUGUUCGGAAUUACUGGGCGUAAAGGGCCAGUAGGCGGCCAACUAAGUCGGAUGUGAAAUCCCCAGGCUUAACCUGGGAACUGCAUCCGAUACUGGAUGGCUUGAAUUCGGGAGAGGGAUGCAGAAUUCCAGGUGUAGCGGUGAAAUGCGUAGAUAUCUGGAGGAACACCGAUGGCGAAGGCAGCCCCCUGGGAUGUGACUGACGCUCAUGUACGAAAGCGUGGGGAGCGAACAGG